CCUACGGGGUGCUGCAGUGAGGAAUAUUGGUCAAUGGCCGGAAGGCUGAACCAGCCAUGCCGCGUGAAGGUCAGUGCCCUAUGGGCGUUAAACUUCUUUUGUGCGGGAGCAAUAAUGGUCACGUGUGGCCAGACGAGAGUACCGUACGAAUAAGCAUCGGCUAACUCCGUUCCAGCAGCCGCGGUAAUACGGGGGAUGCAAGCGUUAUCCGGAUUUAUUGGGUGUAAAGGGUGCGUAGGCGGCCCUGCAAGUCAGAAGUGAAAUCCAUGGGCUUAACCCGUGAACUGCUUUUGAAACUGUAGGGCUGGAGUGAAGUAGAGGCAGGCGGAAUUCCCGGUGUAGCGGUGAAAGGCGUAGAGAUCGGGAGGAACACCAGUGGCGAAGGCGGCCUGCUGGGCUUUAACUGACGCUGAAGCACGAAAGCGUGGGUAGCAAACAGGAUUAGAUACCCGAGUAGUC
rnacentral:rRNA from 1 species